rnacentral:rRNA from 1 species
ACGAGACCCCUGCCUGCUAAAUAGUUGAGCGAAUGAAUGUUCAUUGGCUGCAGCUUCUUAGAGGGACGUGCGUUCUAUUAGACGCAGGAAGAUAGGGGCAAUAACAGGUCUGUGAUGCCCUUAGAUGUCCUGGGCCGCACGCGCGCUACACUGACGGAGGCAACGAGUUUCCUGGGCUGAAAGGUUCGGGUAAUCUGUGAAACUCCGUCGUGAUGGGGAUAGACUUUUGCAAUUUUUAGUCUUCAACGAGGAAUGCCUAGUAAGCGUGAGUCAUCAGCUCGCGUUGAUUACGUCCCUGCCCUUUGUACACACCGCCCGUCGCUCCUACCGAUUGAAUGGUCCGGUGAAGCCUCGGGAUUGCGAUGAGUUUCCUUCAUUGGGAGUUUGUCGCGAGAACCUGUCUAAACC